GUGCUCACUUUGGCACUACAUAGGCUAAAAUUAGAAUUAUGCAGAGUAGAUUAGUGUGGCCCCUGCCCAAGGGUUUGCUACCUUCUGCCAUGAAAUGAGCUUGCUUUGU
ensembl:snRNA U6 U6 spliceosomal RNA